AAAGACACUUGGAUAAGAUCAAAGGAUGAUCACAUAGGUUGAUGGCCUUGAUUGAUGACUUUUAUUGCACUUGGGAGAGGUGUAAGUUUAAGAUAUCCUCAAUUAGGAGAGUCUACAUUAUAAUUUGUGAUAGUGGGGUCCUACGUUCGUGUGACCUCUUC
rnacentral:snRNA from 8 species